rnacentral:misc_RNA from 1 species
AAGGAGCAUAGGCUGCAGCGCGUGAGGGUUUCCUUCGUGUGUUGUGGUUCAUGUCGCGGUCACCAGCGAAUGUCUGGUGCGUGACACGCUCAUUAGUGGAGCACUGGCUAUUCAAUCGAGUCCGGUCGGCCGGGCUUCUAGUACCGCCCAGCUUGCUGGAGUGGGAACGGGGUCUAGGCGGGUUGGGUUGGUUGGGCACACUGUUGGGUCCUGAGGAAACGACCACUCAGUUCACCGCUGCUCAUGUGGCGGCCCGUCUGUCUGAGGUUUGGAGUUUCUUCGGAACGGGACCAGUCUUCCGUCAUACCGGUUUCACCGUCUCGCGUGUCGGGGUGGGUGAGGUGUCUUGGUGGCGGGUUGGGUUGGUUGGCUGUUUGUUGUUUGUGAAUUGCAUAGUGGACGCGAGCAUCUUUGU